ensembl:lncRNA LINC01886 long intergenic non-protein coding RNA 1886
AAGGUUCAGGAAAGCUGCCUGGAGCAGAAGGAGUCUCAAAAUUCACGGGCACCACUUGCACUGCAGCUGAGGAUCCCCAGACAGCAGCAUCCCCACCCCCAGGUGGUAUGCUCUGCGGCAAUAGGAAUGUCUGGGCUACAGCAUUAAAGCACAUUCUGUUUCUAGGGGAGCAUGGCAACAGAGCCCCAGCUGUCAGGCCAUUCUCCCUAUCUCAGCAUGUUCUAGUGAUCCCAGCUGUUCUAGUGAUUAUUGAGAACUACAAACAAGAAGGGCGCUGGGGGAAGGUCAGUUCGAUGCUUUCUGGAGAACUAUCCUUCCAAGGUGGAGGAUCCCAUCUUGGAUACCACAUUACCUUAAACACUGCCUCAGCCAGGUGAUCAAGGUCAACGUCUACUGUGAUAAGUCAUGGUUUUGGUGUGUACCCUUGAUGUGAUGUGAUAAAAAUGGCACUUUACCUCUGUGGUCUUCCUCUGAAAAAUCCCGUAACAGCAGCCUAAUCAUGAGAAGCAUAUCAACAAAACUCAGACUCAGGGACAUUCUACAAAAUACCAGGCUGUCCCUCCCUGAAAUUGUCAAGUUCACCAAAAACAAGGUGAAUCUAAGAAACCUGUUACAGCCAAGAGGAGCCUAAGAAGACAUGAGGACUAAAUAUAACAUGGAAUUCGGGAUAGGAUUGUGCUACAGAAAAUGUAUGUGCUAAUGUGAGAUGUUAACAGUUGGAGAAACUCAGUUUUGGGUAUAAGGAAUUCUCUGUACUAUGUUUAUCUAAAAACAAUUCCAUGGUGAGCAAACUUAAGCAUAGAAAUGUUAAAUAAAUUGUCCAAAAUAGAGAAGUAAAUAGCAGUGCCAGGUUUCAAGCAUAAGAAUCAUCAACUCUGAACUUUAAACACAGCUCUGUAUGGUACUUUUGUUUAUAUCAAUGCCUAGAUAGAUAAAUAGGUAGAUAGAUAAUUUCCAAGUGCUAGAAACAAAAAAGGAACUAAAACUGAUAAAGAAUAUAAAUGAGGCCAGGCAGGGUGGCUCACACCUGUAAUCCCAGCAUUUUGGGAGGCCGAGGCAGGCAGAUCACUGAAGGUUCGGAGUUCAAGACCAGCCUGGCCAACUGGGGAAACCCUGUCUCUACUAAAAAAAAAAAAAAAUAGCCAGGCAUGGUGGCAUGUGCCUGUGAAGCAAGAGAUGUGAGAGGAAAAACAAAUUUUUCCUCUUUCUUUUGGUAUGGGCAGCUUCCCCCUUGAAUCCCUCCUCACUCCUUGUGAUUUUACCCUGCUCUGUAAGUUUUAUGAGUUUAUAGAUUCCUGUUUUCUGUAACUAGUGUCUGUAAGUCUCUGUAGCACCGUGGAGGUAAUGAGACAUGCUUGAGCAAGCUUAGAUUGCAGCCAUCUGGGCGCCAUAGCGAAGGACACGAGAUAAGGCUGUGCAGGCAUCUUGAGCAAACCUAGAUAACAGCCACCUGGCCUGCACAGCAAGAAUCAUGUGUAAGCUUGAGUUAGGAACCUGUCACAGUUUGAUUAACUGCCUUUGUUCUGCUUCUGUAAGCUUGCUUUCCACACCCCACAAGCUUUGCGCCACUGGCAAGCCACCCUCCUUCAGUUGCAUGAAUAAAAGUCAAGCCCUGUCUUCUUUUGUUGCUCAGCCUCUGGAUAUUAAUCCACUAAGCCAGUGGCAACCUAAAUAAAAUC